CCAGGCCCCUCCUUACUCCCUCUCUGCCCUGUGUCCCUCCAGAGUUACUUCCAGAGUCUUCAAGAGUGCCAACUGGGACCAGGACCCCAGACCACAGCCCCCCACACCGUCCUGGACCUGGAUUCUGACUGUGGUUCCACUGUACCCCUCACCUUAAUCUCUGGUUCUAACCAGACCUGAGCCUAGACUUCCACUUUUUCCCUUACCCCUGUGAGGGCCUGGGAACACUAGGUGGGCAGGGUUUGAGCCCACAGGACCUGCACACAAACUUCCCCACCUCUUGGACUUGGGGACAGGAUCUGUGCCUCAACCCAGACCAGCUUUGUAGGGAUAUGUUCCAAGAACAGAGAAGAGUCUUAUGGGGAAGGGGGAGGAAGGGAAGUAUGAAUAUUUACCUCUGACCAAUAAUAGAGGUGCCCUGGUCCCCAAAGAAAUUGACUCCCGAAUUCCCUCCAAGCCUUACCCAUAUAGCUUUUGUUUGUUUGUUUGUUUUCAGACAAGGUCUUGUUCUGUCCAGUGCCGUGGCGUGACCACAGCUCAUGACAACUUUGAUUUCCCCGGCCCAAGCGAGCCUCUCAUUCAGCCUCCUGAGUGGCUGGGACCACAGACGCCACACACAGCUAAUUUUUAUGUAUUCGUUUUUAUUUUUUUGCAGAGACAGGGUCUCCCUAUGUUGCCCAAGCUGGUCUUGAACUCCUGGGCUCAAGUGAUCCUCCUGCUUCAGCCUCCCAAAGUGCUAGGAUUAUAGCCACCGCACCUCGUCUUGAAAUAGCCUUUUAAAUGUUCACCUCAGCUUGCCUCACAGUGGUAAAAAUAAGCAUUUUUUUGUUUUGUAGGAUCAGGGAGCUUCCAAGGCAUUUGAUACCUUUUUGAUGGGAAGAAGGGCUCUGAGGAGCUCCAAGAUACCCCAACCUCCAGGCCCUUCAUUAGGGGGGUCUGUUCCUGGUUUCCCAGAUGCAUAAAGGAAGACAUAUCCCUCCCCUGGGCAGCAAGGCUACAAUGGGAGGGAGGGAGAACAUGGGAGCAUGUGAAUAAAAUGGCAUUAAAU
rnacentral:lncRNA from 10 species